UAGAUGUUCAUGUUAUGGCUUGGGGGUAGAAGCUAUUUAGGAGCCUCUUGGACCUAGACUUGGCGCUCCGGUACCGUUUGCCGUGCGGUAGCAGAGGGUCGCAUACAUCGCACCGGACGUCGAUCCCCCGUUCGUCCACCGAUUUUUCAGUGAGCUGUUGACAUCAGUAAAAUUGUUUUGCACUCGGUUCGUAAAGUACUCGCCGCAGUCACACAUUAUUGGUGUAUCCGUGCUAUAAGACCGUGGCCGCUAAACGUGUGUUUAGAAAAUCCCCAGUCUGAAGUAUGUAGGGGUUACGUCAUGUUGAGACAGGAUGACAUGGCAUUGUAAUUGCUGAUGCCCUUUUGGCUUUGUGAGGUUGACAAGUGAAACUCCUUGUGUCAAAUCCCUGUGUUUACUAUUUUAGUGGUCUGGUCACUGGUAAACAGUCAGUGUACAUGGAAAGAUGUAUUGAUCCAGCAAGGCCAGUAGUUCACCUUUCAACGUGUCUGCACACAAUUUGUUUUUGUUAUGAGUUGGAUACUGUCGGUUCCAAAGUCCAAAGCAAUAUAAACAGUUGUCAAAUAUUCUAAUCAGAGUUUAGAAUAUAUCUUUCAGCAGCAUGUCUUUCUUUUUAUGGGACAGACACCCAAUUCAGAGUCUUGGUUCACUUAAUCACUUUGCCUCAAGUUCAACAUAGCAUCAGCAUUUAUUUUUAUAAACAAUAUUUGUGAAAUUAUUUGUGACAUAAUCAUAAUUUAUCUCUGUUAUGUGGAGGAUGUUUUGCAACAGCUGUUUGCUGAAGCAGUACAGCAUGUUUUGGACAGCUGUUUGCUGAAGCAGUACAACAUGUUUUGGGACAGCUGUUUGCUGAAGCAGUACAACAUGUUUUGGGACAGCUGUUUGGUGAAGCUUUACAACAUGUUUUGGGACAGCUGUUUGGUGAAACCUUACAGCAUGUUUUGGACAGCUGUUUGGUGAAGCUUUACAACAUGUUUUGGACAGCUGUUUGGUGAAGCUUUACAACAUGUUUUGGGACAGCGGUUUGGUGAAGCUUUACAACAUGUUUUGGGACAGCGGUUUAGUGAAGCUUUACAACAUGUUUUGGACAGCUGUUUGGUGAAACCUUACAGCAUGUUUUGGAACAGUGUUUUGGUGAAGCUUUACAACAUGUUUUGGGACAGCUGUUUGGUGAAGCUUUACAACAUGUUUUGGAAAGUCAAACUGAAAAGAAGGCAGCUACAGUUUGUCCAAAUUGAAAUGAAACGGCGAUUCCAUUCAGAACUGUCUCUCUUAAGAAUGGGCCUCUCCCUAUAGAGUAACUGACUUUUGAUUGUGUAAUAGGCUUUAUAAUAACAGCUACCAGGGUUGUUCCAUGAAAAGAGGGCAUUUUGGGUAGUGUAGUUCUUUUUAAAAACACAUUUUUAUUUCACCUAAUUAUAAUAUUUUGUCAUAAAGAGCAUGUUUCACUUCAUUAAAAAAACAUUUUCCCAUCUCAAGAGGUCAAAUUAAGAAAAAUGGCAAUCAAAGUAACAGGGAAAAGUAGCAAUUAAAGUAACAGGGUUGACCGUAACAGAGCCAGCACUCCCUUUGAGACAGGGGGAAUGGAAGCAUGUUGUGCGCAACGGGGAGGGGCAAUUGAAUGCAAGCUCCCCCUUUUUGCUCAGAACAGGCUCAAUUCAACGGGGCAUGGACUCUACAAGGUGUCGAAAGCGUUCCACAGGGAUGCUGGCCUAUGUUGACUCCAAUGCUUCCCGCUGUUGUGUGAAGUUGGCUGGAUGUCCUUUGGGUGGUGGACCAUUCUUGAUACACACAAACAGUUGAGCGUGAAAAACCCAGCAGCAUUGCAGUUCUUGACACACAUGGCGGUGCUCCUGGCACCUACUACCAUACCCCGUUUUUAAGACACUUAAAUGUUUAGUCUUGCCCAUUCGCUCUCUGAAUGGCACACAUACACAAUCCAUGUCUCAAUUGUCUCAAGGCUUGGAAAUCCUUCUUUAACCCAUAUCCUCUCCUUCAUCUACACUGAUUGAAGUGGAUUUAACAGGUGACAUCAAUAAGGGAUCAAAGAUUUCAACUGGAUUCACCUGGUCAGUCUAUGUCAUGGAAAGAGCAGGUGUUCCUAAUGUUUUGUACACUAAGUGUACACUGGAGUUGCUUACCAAGACGACGUUGAAUGUUCUUGAGUGGCCUAGUUACAGUCUUGACUUAAAUCAGCUUGAAAAUCUGAAAAUGGCUGAGCUUGAAGAAUUAAAAAAAAAAAGAAUACUGUGCAAAUAUUGUACAGUUCAAGUUUGCAAAGCUCUUAGAGAAUUACCCAGAAAGACUCGCAGCUGUAAUCGCUGCCAAUGACUCAGGGGUCUGAAUAAAUGAGAUAUUUCUGUAUUUCAUUUUCAAAUUAUUUGUCAAAAUAUCUACAAACAUGUUUUGUCACUAUCGUUAUUGGACGUUGUGUGUAGAUGGGUGAGAGAAAAAAAAUCAAUAAUGGUGAAAUGUUGGGGUUAAGUGGGUUCUAAUCUUCCUAAAUGUCAGAAAAACACAAUAUUGUAGAAGAGGUGUUCUACUAACAUAUCAUUGUGCAAGUACAGAGAUACUGUACCUAUCAACGUUGUGUCUGGUGGUGCUGGGGCUACCUUGCCAAGCAUGUCAGUCAUCAUACCUUCCUGUAUGGUGUCCCAUAUAGAUUUAGGCCACUUUAGCGAGACUUUAUUCAUAUAACAAUUUUGAUGUAUUAAAUGUUCCAUGUGAUUUAUUUUAAAGGUCACUUAAUUUAAUAAAACAAACGUUUAAAAUUCAGUAUUGAUGCACAGUUCCUACUUAAAAUAUCAAAGGGACGCUAUUCUUUGAAUGACCCACCAACAUCAGAGAGAAUUCAUUCUUGUCUGGCAGAUCAUGUGUUAAUUAGCCUGCAUGUGAAGUAGGCAGCUCAUGGAAUGUAGCCACCUCCAGCAGCCUGUGGUAAGGUGAGGCCCAAGGUUGUGACUAGAUGGAGUACAAAUACGACCGGAAGUUACUUUUCCUAGCAAUUCUCCUAACAUGGUACGUUAAUUCUCCUAACCUGGUACGUUAAUUCUCCUAACCUGGUACAUUAAUUCUCCUAACCUGGUACGUUAAUUCUCCUAACCUGGUACGUUAAUUCUCCUAACCUGGUACGUUAAUUCUCCUAACCUGGUGCGUAUGUUCUCCUAACCUGGUGCGUAUGUUCUCCUAACCUGGUGCGUAUGUUCUCCUAACCUGCUGCGUAUGUUCUCCUAACCUGCUGCGUAUGUUCUCCUAACCUGCUGCGUAUGUUCUCUUAACCUGCUGCGUAUGUUCUCUUAACCUGCUGCGUAUGUUCUCCUAACCUGCUGCGUAUGUUCUCCUAACCUGCUGCGUAUGUUCUCCUAACCUGCUGCGUAUGUUCUCCUAACCUGCUGCGUAUGUUCUCCUAACCUUGUGCGUAAAUUCUCCUAACCUGCUGCGUAUGUUCUCCUAACCUGCUGCGUAUGUUCUCCUAACCUGCUGCGUAUGUUCUCCUAACCUGCUGCGUAUGUUCUCCUAACCUGCUGCGUAUGUUCUCCUAACCUGCUGCGUUAGUUCUCCUAACCUGCUGCGUAUGUUCUCCUAACCUGCUGCGUUAGUUCUCCUAACCUGCUGCGUAUGUUCUCCUAACCUGCUGCGUUAGUUCUCCUAACCUGCUGCGUUAGUUCUCCUAACCCGCUGGGUAAAUUCUCCUAACCCGCUGCAUUAAUUCACCUAACCCGCUGCAUAAGUUAUCCUAACCUGAUGCGUUAGUUCUCCUAACCUGGUGCGUUAGUUCUCCUAACCUGGUGCGUAAGUUCUCCUAACCUGGUGCGUUAGUUCUCCUAAUCUGCUGCAUAAGUUCAUGGUGAAGGCAUGGCCACUGGCCAGCCCUGGUUCCUGCCUCCUACAUUACCCAUGUACAUGUUCCUCCCAUUGAGCUUGAUUAUUAGUGAACAAUGUCAUAAUGAACAGCACAGGAGAACACACCCUUGUUGAGCUUUACAUUGGCAUUUCUCGCAUUGCAGACUAUCCUAUGUAUCUGCACGGUGUCCUCAAAAUAAGGAAUAAACUUCAUAUACCUGAACAUGAUUUCCCUCUAGCCUGUUCUCAUUAACCAAACCUGCCCAGAUGCAGGGUUGGAGGUACAGUCAUGCAAGUACAGUGUUUUUACACCUUAAUACCUUAAUCUGACGCUCUAAAUUUCUCUACUCUGUAUGGUAUGGCAAUGCAGUUGAAUAAUGUCUCUAUUGUAUUGACACUGUGUUUUGAAGGCCACUUUCUGUGUGGGAACAACCUCUGUGAGAAGGAGGAGGACCUGAAGAGCUGGGACGUGAACUUUGCCCAUGUGGAGCAGGGAGAGAAGAGAAACACAUGGGUCAAACUCAGAGAAAGGAGGUGAUCGCCAAGAAGAAAAAAGAAGAAAGCAGAGACAAGUCGUCUGAGGAAAAUCAAGUUGAACCACAGGCAAAAAGAUCCAAGAAAGCAGAGACAAACAUCAGAGGAGACAGAAAGACAAGACUCUACCAUUUCAUAUCUUUGUACAACUAUGGCUCAGGCCCCUCCUAACGCUCCUCCCCCAGGAACUCUGAGGACAACUCCCAGCAGUCAGACAAAGGAGAGGGAGAACACAGUGAGGAGCCAAAGGGCCUGUCGGAGGCAGACCACUGGAAAGGCCCAGCCCCCACCGUGGAGGAGGAGUCCAG